rnacentral:rRNA from 1 species
AAAGGUAGCAUAAUCAUUUGCCUUUUAAUUGGAGGCUAGUAUGAAUGGUCUAACGAGAGUAAAACUGUCUCAUAUAUACUUAAUAGAAACUAACCUAAAGGUGCAAAGGCCUUUAUUACGUAAAAAGACGAGAAGACCCUGUUGAGCUUUAAUCUUAAUGAGCAUCCUUUCUAUAUUUAUAAAUUUUCUUUGCUCACUAAAGAUUUUAAUUGGGGCGAUUAAGGAACAACUACCAGCUUCCUGAACCUACUCUGAAAUGUAUAUAAACUAAAUCGAUCCAGUAAUACUGAUCAACAAAACGAGUUACCACAGGGAUAACAGCAUAAUUCUUCUUAAGAGUCCAUAUCGAAAGAAGAGAUUGUGACCUCGAUGUUGGACUAGGGUAACUAGAAGGUGUAGCCGCUUUCUUGUUUGGUCUGUUCGACCAAUAAUUCCCUACAU